AAAAAAAAAGACUGAGAGAAUUGAGUGCAAGGAAAUGAAACAGCGAGGCAACCACGUGGACUCAGUGCUUCCUGCCUGCUCAGGGGGAAGCGCUUUCAAGGCUUGGUUAACCUCUCUGGUUAAGGCUUGGUUAAGGCCUCCUCUUGGUUGACUCCAGGUUGCCUCUUCCUCUGGCCCAUCCCCAGACAGCCUGUUCUUACAGAAAACAAAGAUGCCCACAGGAUGUCUCCCACUGGCUCCCUGAUGGGGCAGGGCACCAGCCACAGCUCACACACUACAUCUGAGCUCAAGCCCUAAGGGGCUUUGGCUUACAAAGCAAGGCAAGGUUGCCAGCUCCUUCUCUAAGACUGGACUUGGAGGGGGAGGGUUUUUUCUGCCAAGUUUGUGGUGGCACCCCUCAAAUGCUCUCUCAAGGUUCCUUAGGGCCCAGGGAACUCUUUACCCAAACUCUGAGGGCCACAGUCUGGGUGGAGCUGGGCCUAGGGGCUGACUGAGCAGGUCAGGGGGGUACCUUUCCCUGCUGAGUCCUGCCUGCCAGUCUCUGCCUCUCCUUAGAAGCUAGAGAAGGAUGCUUUAGGGGGAGCUCGUGUUUUAAAUACAACUCAACUCUUCUUCCUGGCUGGGGUCCAUUUCUCUUAACGGAGACUCUCCAGAUUGGCAUUUAAGAGGAAAGCGAGAAAGACUUAGAAAAAAUGUCAGCAGGAACAUAAAGCUUCAGGAUUGGCCGCAGCCCCUCUGGGCUAGCCUUGCUGCUUCCGGAAGCUGUUCCUUGGGAAGCCCUGGAGCACCCUCUCCCCAGGGGUUAGCCAGCAGGGAGGCCCAGGCUGGGCCUGAGUGAAAGGGAGCUGCCAUGCUGCUCUGAGAGGCCAGAACUAGGCUGGCAUCUGCCACCUCUCCCUGCAGCAAGUCUGGAGAGAGGACACAGUCAGGCCCAAGGGAGGGCACAUGACCACAGCAGGCAGACGCCAACCCAGCCCAGUCUCCAGGCCAGCCUUGACACUAGAUCAGCACUUGGAUCUCCGGGAGCCUGCCCCGUGUCUGGGGCCUGCACACCCCGGACACUGCACAGCCCACUUCUGGAAGUCAAGGCUGAGAAGGCUGCUGGGAGACCACAGAGCAGAGGCCUCGCAGAGCAGACUCCAGAGAAGAGUCUGAUGGGAGGGGAGAGGGAGGGGGAGCAAAGAAGGGUUCAAAGGCAACGUUGUCAAUCUUCUAAGCCAAAUCCUACACAUGCUACCAGCCUAACUACCGUGGGGACAGGAACCAACAAACAGAACCAAGAAGCAGGGCGGCUGUGCCCAGGAAGGAGGGAACAAGGACAGGAGAUGGAGCUUGUCUUUAGCCCAUGCAGACUAGGGCCACUGCAGCUCUGAGCCUCGCUAAAAGGCCACAAGCCAGCCUCCUGCUAAUCUGUAGAAACGGCAGUGUUUCUUGGCAGCCCCAGUGCUCUCUAAUCCCCUCACACAAAGUGACCCUGGGGCAAGGCACUUUAGCAGCUCUGGCUGACAAAGGGGGGUCGAGGCUUCUGCUUAUUUCACUGAUCUGCCAUUGAGGGAAACUUCUGCCAAACAGACACAUUAGCUGGAAAGCAGCACAACGGAGUGAAGCUGCUUUAUUUUGGCCAGCCCUGCAAGGACCUGUGAGGAGGGGCCUCAGAGCUUGGGUGGUAGGGGUAUGAAAUCAGCAGAAAGCAUAAUCUUUCUUAAACACAGCUUUCAUCGCAUCACUCGCCUGACCAAGCGCCUACAAGGACUCUCUAUUGCUAAGGGAUCAGAGCUAAACGCCUCUGUCUGGCACCCUGCACCCUCCAUCAGCUGCCAAUCCCCUCACCCUUAAUUUCCCACAUUAACUAGAGGCCACCAGAGUCUGAGGCUGCAAGGCACCAUUUAUCUUAAGCUAUUGCACCUUUCUGUGUCUCGGUUUUUUCAUCCGUAAAAUGGGGAGAAGAAUAGAACCACCUCUCAGGCUGUGGAAGAAGAUGAGAUGAAGUAAAGCAUAUAGGGUAUUAAACACAGGAAGUGCCUAUGGAAUGGUGGUCCCUGGUACUGUAGCAUAACAUCCCUCGCAGCAGCAGCCAGCAUAGAGCCCUGUGAGUCGAUGCUCAGCUGUUGCACUUUUCUAGGGCAUUUAAGCAACCAGGAAGAACGGAGAGUAGCGCGGUGGUACUAUAGCCAACUAAGUCUGUCUGUAAACUCCAACUGGAUUGCCCAGGGAGUGGGUGGCGGCUGUUGAAGGGAUUACCUGAUAAUCUGGACCAGUUAAGAGAAUCCUGCUUUCACCCAUCCACCCUCCCAUUCCCAUCCUUCCUCCUUCAACUGUGCAGACUCAGCCUGGGAAUUUUUGAUGGGCACACUGGGGGUGAAUUCUUAAGGGAUAACAAUACUCCCUAUGCCUCACAGGGUUGUUUCGAGGGUCAAGAGAAACAAACCUGUAAACUCGGAAGUGCUCGGCAAAUGGUGGCAUUUGGCUUUGUCAAUUACUCACCGCAGCGCCAGCAGGGCCAGUCCGUCCUCUUUCACCAGGCAGGCCACGAGGACCCUGGAACACACACAAGGACAGCCUAAGCAUGAAAUCUACAACACUGAAUAUGAACUUUGCACAAAGGGUGAUCUUUGCAGCCAUCUGAUGGUCUGAAGAGUCUCUGAUAAACCAUCCUGGAGGGUGUCCAUACUUACCAUUGGGCCCGGAGAUCCGUUCUCACCCGGGGAACCACUCUCACCCUGGAAAAAUGAUGCUCAAGGUUCUGCUGACUGGACGUGCUCUCCCUAACCUCAAGAGACUUUUACUGUCUAAUGCUAUUCAUAAAAAUAGCCCAAGAGUGCCAACUCUUGUCUCUUCAUUUCGUUUGCAUCCUUUGUAGACAUCCUGACUCAGGCUGUGCUUUUUCUAACUCAUUUACAAUUAAGAUAAU